rnacentral:lncRNA from 1 species
AUAAGGGUCUCAUUACUAAAACACUGAAGUGGGAUUAUAUUUUUGUAAUCGUCUAAUAUUUACAGUCAUAAACCUGCAUGAGAAUACUUUCAAAUACUAGCUUUUGUGCUUUUAAAAUAGGUAACAGUGAAUGUUAGUAUUGGGUGUGGGAUGCAUCAGGGACACAGGUUUGUAAACCAUGACAAUUCAGUUGUAAAACUAAAGCCAAGUGCACCUGUAGUUUUAUCUGAAAAGUUUUCUCCUUUUAGACCAAUCUCGGGUUACAGUUAAAGAACUGCCUUCAGUUCUUUAGUAUUUCUGGCACAGUAUUUCUCAAACUUUUUGGUCUCUAGAACCCGUUAUGCUCUUAAAAAAUUAUUGAGUACCCCCCACCAUAAGCUUUCAUUUUUGUGGGUUAUAGCUAUCAUUACUUUUCAUAUUAGAAAUUUAAACUGAGAACCUUUAAAAAUAUUUAUCAAUCCAUCUAAAGCUAACAUUAAUAAACCUAUAUUGCCUGUUAACAUAUAUAACAUUUUUAGUGAAAAAUAAGCAUUUUCCUCCC